ensembl:lncRNA
CAAAAUACUGACAUUUCGACAUGUAAUCAAUGAGAUGUUUUCCAUUCUUUUCUUCUUGGUACCCUGGGCCCUCCCACCCCCACCCCAGAGCCAGCCUUUGCUCCUUCCCUGGGGCCGGGAGAAGGGCCACCGUGGGAAUCCUGUGGCAUUCUAGGCAUUCGGCCUUUUGGGGGCGGCCAGGCGCAUGGGACACUCCAACCCUGCGGGGCUGAGGGCACAGCGGGGUCACCACGUGAAGGCUGGAGUCUGUCCUCCGGGAGGAGGUCUGGUGGCGUCUGCAGGACUGAUAGCAGGGCCCGGGGGGCGUCUCCCUGGGCCUGGAGUCCGGCCAGCAGCCCUGGUCUGGCUCUGCAUUCCUCCCCCGGGCUGGGUCCGGCCAAGGACUUCGUGCACCGGGACGUGGGCCCGAGGCCCCGGCGAGCAGGUGGGACUGCGAGAGGCUGGGGGGCCCGGAGUCCAUGAGCUGUCAGUCUGGAGCUGGGACUUGGGGGGCCUUGUGUCCUCCCUGGCCGCUCCCCACUCUGUAAGUGAGGUCUCCAGUGGGGAAGGGAGCCUGGCGGCCCUCUCUGUCUCUGUCCCUCUCUGUGCCCCCCUCACCUCCUCUCCCGGCUCCGGCCAUCCUCUCACCUCUCUUAGCCCCCGUGGAGGGGCCGCUGAUUGCUUAAUUCUGCUCUCUCCCUGCACCUGUAGCGGGGACCCCCAAAAGAUACGUCCAGGUCCUACCCACCGGUGCCUGUGACUGUGACCCUAUUUGGAAAGAGGGUCUUUGCAGAUGUCAUCAAGUUAAGGAUCUGGAUGGACGGUGGGCCCUGCAUCCAGUGAUCGCUGUCUUUAUCAGAGAAAGGUGGGGGAGAUCUGAGACCCAGAGAUGCCGCGAGAGGCCACAAGCCACGGAACGAGGAGCCACCGGAGGCUGGCAGAGGCGAGAAGAACUGACCUGUGAGGCCUCCCGGGGCAGCGCGACCCUGCCGACCCCUUGAUCUCAAACUUCUGGCCCCCAGAAACUGCGAGGGAGUCCAUUUCUAUUGUUUGAAGCCCCCCGGUUGGUGGCAGGUGAUGACAGCAGCCCCAGGAGUCCGACACACCCCCCACAGCCACCUGCCCUACUGUGCGCUCAGCCCACUGUGGCCCGGCUACUCAUCUCUGCCCCCGGGGCCACAUCCCUGUGCCACCACCUGCUGUGAGCCACGACUUUAACCACGUUAGGCCUCAGUUUCUGCAAAUGUGCAGACACUAAUAUAAAGUAUAUAUAUAAAGUAUAUAUAUAUAUAAAGUAUAAAUAUAAAUAUAAUAUAAAUAUAAGAGACAAUAAUAUAAAAAAAAACACACAGCCAGUGCCUAGCUGAGCUGGAAACAUCGAGAGCGGCCCCGACCUGUUAUCACAGCUGUUGCUACUUGGGGGGCGGCACCUGUCAUCCUUGAGGCAGAGGCGACGGCAAAUUCUAAUUGGAUGGGGAGGUGUACGUCAUCAAUAAAGAUACCCCGGGAUGUUUGGCCGUCACAAACCGCGCUCAAAAUCAGCUUGGAGGACCGUGGACUGGUGUAGCAUGCUGCCUGGCACCGUGUAAGUGGAUGUAAUUAGUGGUGGGACCCGCUCAGCCCGCUGGCAGAGGGGGCCGCCCACCCCGCUCAUCGGCUUUCAUUCGUUCAUGCCACACCCGUUUCUUGAGCAACUGCAGUGUCUGGCACAGCCGACAGCAAGUCAGUCAAGCUCCAGGGCUGCCCCCUGGGGUGCUCAGUCUUCUUGGGGAGGCAAGUGAUCAAGGAGAGAGGUGGCACAGAGUGGGGAGGUGGGGGCGGGGGUGGGGAACAGGAAGGAGGGUCCCACCCAGAGGGGCUGGGGUCAGGGAAGGCUUCCCGGAGUGAGAGGAGGCCGGAGGCCAGAGCAGAAGGACAAGUAGGCAGGGAGGAGGUAGGGGAAGGCAUUCCAGCCAGAGAGAAUAGCACGUGCAAAGGCCCAGGGGCAGGAGCACGUGGAACAAUAGGGACUCAUCAGCGUUUUGAGAAGCCAGGGCACAAGGAGGAGGGUCACGGUGAGCAACGAGGCCCAAGAGAUCUCCCGGAAGAGCAUGGCCUGCGAGAAGGUGGGGCUUGUCUUCGGGGCCCUAGGGGUCAUUGGAGGGUUUGAAGCAAUUCUGGUUCAAGGCCAGGAGUGGGCUUCCUGCAUCUCUGACGAGUCACCCCUCUUUAUGCUCCAGACCUGAAUCUCACGCCCAUCGAGGUAGGUUUUCAUCCAGAGGGACUCAGAGUGCGAGGGGAUUUGGGGAGCCAGGACUGUCCUCAGAGGCCAGGGGUCUGGGAGCACCUGCGCCCGUGGAAGGUCGUCCGUGGCUGCGGGUGCCGGGAAGGCUCCAGAAGCCCCGCCCACAGCUGGUGACUGACACCCACACUUCCUCACGCCCCCGGCCUGGGGCAGCGGGAGGUGGGUGCCAAACCGAGGCUUUUGGGGGUGCCUCCCACGCAGCGGGCUCCGGAGGGAGGAGCGUGAGCACACGGUCGCGUGUCCCCUGCAUAUGGUCUUGCACGCCGCGCACCUCCGCAGCUCCGGGUGGGGCGGCUGCACCCCGAGCAGGAGGCGAAGCCGGAGCCCCGGCGUCCGGCCCUGAGCCCCGCCCGCCAGCCGCCGCCGGACCCGUCGCCGAGGCCCUGCCACCCCGAGGCCGGUGUGUGGUCCCCAGGAGAAAGGAGGGGCCGCCCUGACCCUCUUGACCCGGCUGCUGGGAGCCUCGGCUGCCACCAGCGGACGGCCGUCUCCCACCCUGACCCGCCCCGCUGCAGCCCAGAAGGAAUGACACCCCUCUUGCUGGGAACCGGCCCCCCAAAAGCCACGUGCACCCACAUCGCAUCUCAGGCUGUCUCUAGGGGGCCUCAGCCCAGAGGAGGUGGUGCCUCCGUUCCCCCUUUAGCAUCUCCCCGCGUGCCCUCCGUCCUUCCAGAGUCUCACCUCCUCGGCCCAACCUUUGAAGCCUUUCCUCAUCUAUCCCCGGCUGACCCCUCCUUGAUGCUGAGGUCCUGUGCUAGCCCGCUGCUCAGUAAGAAGCGGCCAGGCCAGCUUCUCUGGACCUCUCUGCAGGGGCGAGGUUUCCAGAGGCUCCCUGUGCAUCCCUGCGUUUUGUUAGGGGUUGACUUGGCUGGACCCUGGAGCUCCAGACAGCCCAGCUCCCAGGAGGAUGAGCCGGAGGAGAAGGAGCCACGACGCACACGCUUUUCACACGAGCGUGGAAAAUCUGGGGAGGCUCUGAGCACGGCAGGCUCCCUGGGCCAGGGCCACGCCAACCUCGGGCUGGUCGGGGCUGGGAUGAGUAAUAGCGGUUGGGCAGGAUAACCCGCUUGAGAAAUGAACCAGGUCUUAUUUUGGCUCCUGAUUCAUCGCAAGAGAAUGCAAAGUAUUUUCCCCUCUCUCCGCCUCUUUCAAAGAGCAGCUGUGUUUUUGUGUUCUGAAGGGCUGUGUUUGCCGUGGGCCCCUGGAGAAUCAACAGGCCCUGGUUGUUUAAAGCCUCGUCCUUCAGGCAGAGCUCAUCCAACUGCAAAUAACAGAAUCCCGCUGGAAUUAGCUUAUGCCAAAGCAGAACGUAUUGUUUUGUGUCGCUGGAAAGUCAGGAGCGCUACAGCUUCAGGCACGGCUGGAUCCAGGGGCUCAGGCAGUGUUGUCCGGGAUCUGUCUCCAUCUCUCAGCCCUGGUUUGCUUUCUGUUGGCUUCACUCUCAGGUGGACACUCUCCACCUGCUGGCAAAGAUGGUGCCUCAUGGCCCCAGGCUUCUAUCGCACCAGCCGAGUGGAGAUUUCCUCUUGCGGAACAGCUUCUGCAAGAGUCCUAGGGCUGAGUCUCAUCGACCCAGCCAGGGUCACAGGCCGGUUUCUGAAGCAAUCGCCACAACCCGCCUUAGUCAGGUGAUGACUCAGCCCCCAGAGCCCGGGGUGGGGCUGGGAGAAGGCAAGCUUUGGGAGCAGAGGUGAGAGAUGCUGUGGACACCUGGGGUCCGAGAGGGUGGAGCUGGGCUGUCUGGGAGCGGCUUGUGGGGACUCUCUGGGGAGGCGGCUUUUGAGUGGCAAAGGCCUGGCCCCUGGCAAGGGGGCUCCGAUCCCAAUUUCCUCAGACUCAGAAAAGUAAAAGAAUAAGAUCAUUCCUACAAGUAUUAUGGAACAGAUUCAGACCAUCUGCGGGAGCAAGUCCUAAAUUCUGGGACUUUCCUCAGUCAGCCCAGAUGCCGGAACUCCUGAGGAAACGGCUAAGAACACGGGAUCUGACUGGGUUCCAAUCCUGGCUCUGCCAGUGCCUAGCUGUGUGGCCUUGGGCAAGUCACUCAACCUCUCUGUGCCUCUGUUUCCUUAUCUGACAAAUGGGGACCAUGACAUCGCCUGCUUAUCUCAUAGGACUACUGUGGGGAUUAAAUGAAGUCUGAGAGGCCUGGUGACAUGCCCAUGUCUCAGGGCUGAUGCCAGGUUCUGGGCUCUUUCCAUCCCCGGUGCUGGCAUGUAGCCGGAGGCUGUUGACUGUUUGUUGAAUGAAUGAAUGAAAGAUUAUAAGAAAAUGUUUAUCUCUUUCUGCUCAGAGCUCCGUCCCUGGGUUCCUUCAGCCCACAGCACAGGGGCACUCAGGGUCUCCUGAGAAGCCUGUCUCAGCCUCGGUUCCCCCAGAAGCAGCCUCGGAGGCGAGGAUGUGGGUGCAGGCAGUUUAUUUAGAGGGUUAUCCCCGGGAACACUGUCAUCGCCUCUGACCCAUUGACCCCCGGGGAGUCCCCCCCUUCCACCCCCAGGUCUCACGCAUGGUCCGUGCGCCUCCUGCCGCGCUGGCCUGGACAGCCUUCCGAAGAGGGGACAGUGGUGACCCGGCCUCCCGCGGCCCAGCUCGGCCCCUGCAGCGCCCCUCCCGCUGCAUUCUGUGGUCACAGCAGGUCACGGGUGGCCCAGCUUCGGGGAGAGAGGAAGCAGCUGCCACCUGGGGAUGGCGAGAGCUGCCACCUACUGUGGCCACGGUUUUCAAUUAAUUUUUUCGAUCAUAAGACGCUUAACUGCCAUUGUUGGAAAUCUGUUACGAUGCACAUGGAAGUGAAUGUACGACGGCAGGGGAUGUAACUGGAGCCCCCUAGAGAUGUGCAGUGCGCAACCUGCACCACGGUCACGACAGCCCUGCUGAUGUCACGGGGUUCAUCUCUUCUUCUCACACGCCUCGCUGGGGCAGGCGUCUGUUACUUUUGAGCGCCCAGUGUCCGGCACCCCUUCUGGGGACAGUGACUCCCCGUCGCCACGGGUAUUUUAGUGGGGCUGACCCUCUCCUCCUCCAGGGGUGGGCAUGUGAUCAGAAAAGUCUAUCACCCUAACCAGAGCGAUCGGUCCGAUGAUGGCACCUGACCCAAGCUGGGCCCAUGGAACUCAGGCACGGGACUUCUGCCGACACCUCUGGGAAAGAGCUGUUCUUUUUCAAUUGGGGUUGCUUGACUGUUUGGAAGCCUGGAGCUUCUACUGGGGACCGUCUUUGCCACUGUAAGAGAAGGGCCUGCCUGAGAGUGAAACAGUCACAGAGCAGAGCAGAGCCGAGAGAGGAAUAAAGAGAGAUUCCUGAUGACAGCAUUUGAGCUCCUGGAUCCAUCCAUGCCUGAAGUCCUCACCACAGACUUUCCAGUUAUAAAGCUGUGGAUUCAUGCUCAUGUUGUCAUCCUUGUGCUGCCGAUUUUCUUACGGAACGGAAAUGUCCAGCUUUGCCCCUGUUGCCUUCAAAAGCGGGGAAGGUAACUAUUGGCUGAGGAGGCCAUGGGGUUAUCGUCACACGCUGCUUGCUUCACCUGUUUCUGUUGCUGGUCUGGCCCCUGAAGGGGGCUGAGCUGGCAGCCUCUUGCCCACAGAGUCAAGUGCCCACCCGUUCACGGGACAUUCAGGGGCCUUGGGAUGCUGCCUGUUACCUGCUAACAGCACGGGGGGCUUCCUCCUCUGACCCCACUGGGGGGCCGGGCUCUCAGCCUGCAUCCUCUCAGCUCUCCUCGCGACAGUCCUGUGUAGCCCCCCAGAAACACCCCACCCCUCGGAAGCAAGGCCAUCACCUGGCUCUAUCGCCAGGAAGAAAAGCAUCCUGCUGUCAGCCCGUCCCCAGUGACGAAAGCCCGGAGGAGCCCAGGGACCCCACUCACUGAGCCUCCGACCCCGCUGGUGUCCACAGUUCAGUUCAGGUCUGACUCACGGAGUUGGCGCAGACCCCACGGGUCGAGGGCUCCGUCCCACGAGACUGUCCCCGACUUCAGCCACCAGCCAUGAAGGGGUCCCCAGGCUGCCUGUGCUUCUGUCCGGCCGGCCACAAAUUCGGGGGUCCCACACCCGACUUCAGCUUCGAUGAUUUGCUAGAAGGACUCAGAGACCCGGGAGAAGUGCCAUCCUCACUCCUACAGUUUCUCAGAAAAGAUCCAGGUGAACAGCCGGGUGGCGAGGGACGUAGGCCAGCGUCUGGAAGGGUCCCGAACACGGGGGGCUCUGUCCCCUGGAGUUGGGGCGUGCUACCCUUGUGGCACGUGGUGUGUUAGCCAAGCCGGAAGCCGCGAGCCCCGUCAUUUCGGGAUUUGUGUCGCGGUUUCUUGCCCGGAGGCGUGAUCGGCCAUCCUUAGCCACGGGUGGUGGCGCUCGCUCUCGGGCCCCUCGCCCUCCCUGGGCUCGGGGGUGGAGGGGGGGCGCUCAAGGUCUCACCCCAAAGCACGAGGUGGGUUUUCCGUGAUCAGCUCCCAUCCUGAGGGUGUCUCUGUCCCUCCGCCCCGACCCUGAGUCAUCACAUCUGCCCGCCAAACCCACUCUGGCGGCUCAGGAAAUUCCGAGGGUGUCAGGGGCCCUGCGCCAGGAACCCGAGGCAAAGGCCAAGUGUUUGUUUCCGUUAACACACAUGCACACACAAACACACACAGCUUCACUUUUUGCUGAGUUGCCACCUGGACCACUCAGACCGCAGGGCACGGGGUCCAGGAUUCGCUUCUCCUUCUGGGGCCCCCGCUCUCCUGCCCCACUGUCCUGUCCCCGCGGGUUUUCCUGCCUCCCUUUCCCCAGACCACACUGUGUGCCUGCCUGCCUUCCCCCCUCCCUCCCUUCCUUCCCUCUUCCAGUGUAUGUGUUUGCCAGCAUCCAUCAGCUAGGGGCUGAGCUGGGUGCUCUGUGCUGGGUAGUCUGAGCUGGGUGCCCUGUGCUGGGUGCCCUGAGAUAGGUACUUGUGCUGGGUGCCCUGAGAUAGGUACUCUGUGCUGGGUGCCCUGAGUUGGGUGCACUGCGCUGAGUAGUCUGAGCUGGGUGCCCUGAGAUAGGUGCUCUGUGCUGGGUGCUCGGUGCUGAGUGCAGCUCGGCUUGGUGCCCUGAGCUGGAUACUCUGAACUGGGUACCCUGAGCUGGGUGCCCUUAGAUGGGUACUCUGCACUCAGUGCCCUGAACUGGGUGCUCUGUGCUGGGUGCCCUGCCCUGGGUGCUGGAGGAACAGCUGUGAGUGAGGCGCACAGACCCGGCUCCAGUGGGCGUGUGCCCGGCCCUAGCUGGCAGGUCUCCCCGGGAUCUUGGAGCAGAGCGGCCACUGACCUCCCCGCUGCCGUCCGGGGUCGGGCUGAUCCGACUGAAGCGUGGUGCGUGCACAGAGGCACUUGGCGGUUCUCUAGCAGACACACCUGAAAAUAAGACGCUCACAGAGCCAAAGGUGGAAACAGCCCGGCGUGCACCCACGACCAGUGGAGGCAGAAAGAUGUGGUCCACCCACGGGACACACAGCACUCAGCCACAGACAGGAGCGAAUGUCUUGUAUAUGAGACCACGGGGAUGGACCCCGUGCUGAGCGAAGGGAGCCAGACCCAGAAGGACAAAUGCUGUGGGACUCCACUCACAGGAAAUGGCCAGAAUCGGCGAAGCCACAGACACGGAAGGCAGAUCCGUGGCGGCCGGGGGCCGGGGGGAGGGGAGGGCCAGCUGAGGGGCACGGGUCUCCCUCUGGG